CUUGCUUCGCCAUGGCAACCAAUAUGGAGGUGCUGGCUCAGCAGGUAAUGGAGACUCAGCAGGUGGCUGAGGAAAUGCACCGUGGUAACAUAGUGUGAUGGUUGUAUCUUGCCACUGGAGAGAUCUCUUCAUCCCAAGAAUUUAUGAAGCUCUGUGAUUUCUUCCUAGCCGGACUGUGAAUGAAGCCUGUGUAAAAUGUCGUGCACUGAAGUUCCGUGAUAUAAGGCUGAUUUAUCUCUUUCAUCUUCUCUGGAAAGCUUCCUGUCUUAAAGAAAUUGGGACGCAUUUAAUUUUUUAAAAUACAAUUUAGAAUUACAAAAAUGUACCAUCACUGACUUUGAAGAACUAGGUUUUUGUACAUACAGCUUCCAUAGUGGUUGCUUUAAGUAUUAAACAGGUUUUUCAUGGUGUGAUGUUUGUUUUGAACAGUAUGUUAA
rnacentral:lncRNA from 1 species